AAGGCCCCACCUCCUCCCUCAGCGCAGCUUUGCAGGCGCUGGGGCUCCCAAAGGACGGAGCUUUGAAUCCACCUGGGAGGCUUAAGAGAAAGUGCUGAGUCCCCCAUGCCCUACCCCUGAGACUGCUGACAGGCAUCGCUGAGGGCUGCAGCUUUGGAAUCGGGCAUCUUCUGAGGAAGAGAAAGGCACCACAGCCACGGCACAGAAGACUAGGGGAGCCAGCUUCAGCUUUUGCCAAGUGUUUGGUUCAUCUGACGCUUGGUGAAGUCACAUGCAUCUGCUGCCCUGACAUCCAGGAGAAGGAACCAUCUGGCUCAAGAAUCCAUUACAGAAGAGGCCGUCAGCACCCGUCACUUGUGCCUCCCCAUGUCCAGCUGAGUUUCUUUCUCUCUGCUCAACUCCAAAGUGUUGAUGAGUCAAUCGAUGCGGCCCUUGCCACUGCGUCUCACUGGGAAUUCCGGUGAGGUGGCCGUCUGCCUGCGUGCGUGCCAGCUAGCUCCUCGAUCAAUGCACACUUCUUUAAAGUGCUGCAGGAUGCUGCUGGAAAGGAUUUGGUCUGGCUCAUUUGGCUGUUGAAAAAGGCCACGCCUGCUUCAAGUUCCUCCAGUACUCGGGGGUAAUUACAAGCAUUUUCAGAAAACAAAACAGCCAAAUGGAAAAUUUUUGUUACAAAACAUGCUUUGGCCACUUCAGUAGUUGAAAUGACAAGAGAAUGGAAACCCCCUUAAGUGAGAUCAUGCUGUUUUUGAGAACAUAUUCUUUAAGAGGAAAACUGUUCUAAAUACUAA
rnacentral:lncRNA from 1 species